rnacentral:misc_RNA from 1 species
UCUCCGUUGGUGAACCAGCGGAGGGAUCAUUACCGAGUUAUACAACUCACAAACCCCUGUGAACCUUACCUAUCGUUGCUUCGGCGGGACUGCCCCGGUGCCUCUCUGCACGGAACCAGGCGCCCGCCGGAUACCAAAACUCUUGUCUUUUAUGCGUAUUCUGCGUGGCAUACGCAAAAAUGAAUAAAAACUUUCAACAACGGAUCUCUUGGUUCUG